rnacentral:rRNA from 1 species
AUUGAACGCUGGCGGCAGGCCUAACACAUGCAAGUCGAGCGGAUGAAGGGAGCUUGCUCCUGGAUUCAGCGGCGGACGGGUGAGUAAUGCCUAGGAAUCUGCCUGGUAGUGGGGGAUAACGUCCGGAAACGGGCGCUAAUACCGCAUACGUCCUGAGGGAGAAAGUGGGGGAUCUUCGGACCUCAGGCUAUCAGAUGAGCCUAGGUCGGAUUAGCUAGUUGGUGGGGUAAAGGCCUACCAAGGCGACGAUCCGUAACUGGUCUGAGAGGAUGAUCAGUCACACUGGAGCUGAGACACGGUCCAGACUCCUACGGGAGGCAGCAGUGGGGAAUAUUGGACAAUGGGCGAAAGCCUGAUCCAGCCAUGCCGCGUGUGUGAAGAAGGUCUUCGGAUUGUAAAGCACUUUAAGUUGGGAGGAAGGGCAGUAAGUUAAUACCUUGCUGUUUUGACGUUACCAACAGAAUAAGCACCGGCUAACUUCGUG